CAUUCAGUGAGUUGCUUCCCUUUGUCUACUCCCUUCCUAGGUGAGACCUGAUGUUCAUCGUUUCUCCAUGACUCUCUUUGGAGCCGCCAUAAAGUCUGUAAAAAACCCAGAUAAGAAGAGUGUAGAGAAACAAGUCCUGGACAGCUUGGUCCCACUACUUCUAUAUUCUCAGGAUGAAAAUGAUGCAGUAGCUGAGGAGAGCAGGCGAGUCAUAACCAUAUGUGCCCAGUUCCUGAAGUGGAAGCUGCCCCGAGAAGUGUACUCUAAAGAUCCCUGGCACGUCAAACCUACUGAAGCAGGAACAAUCUGCAGAUUCUUUG